UUUUCUAAGAGUAGUUUGCCUUGUAAUCGUUAUCAAAUCCUGAACUUAUUUGGUGUUCACACAACAUGAGACUGUUGAUUGUUGUUACAUUUUUGGCCGGUCUCCAAAGCUUAAUAUUUUGUGUUCCUUAUCCAAGCACAAUGCAACAUGCUAUUCUUCGAUCCAAUUGCCCUUACUGUCCCCUGCACGCCAUGUACAAGCGACGUGUAUGCGGUUGGGAUGGCCAAACUUAUUGGAGCGCUUGCUAUGCCGCUUGCGCAGGAACGAAAGUCAAAUGUGAAGGAUUUUGUCCGUGUCCUCCGUCCAAUCAAUGUCCGAACAUUUACUCUCCAGUUUGUGCUAGUAGUGGCAUAACCUAUUACAACCGUUGUAAUGCCAAAAAAGUGCCUGGCUUGUUCGUGGACUGCCUGCAACCAUGUCCAUGUCCCCAAAAGUGCCAUGAAUGUUGUUACAGAUUUAAACCAAGAUGCUUAUCAAUCUGGUUUGAUUGCGUCAGUUGUUCUCCUAAACACAAGUAAUCACCGACAUCAAUAUGAGAUUGAUGAUUUCAUUUCUUAAUCAAGAGCACUUUAAAUCAUUAAAUGAUCUGCACAUAUAUGUAUCACAUGUAAAAUGUUCGGACAUACAAUGAAAGAUAACAAAACCCAAGAUGAUGAUAUUAUUAAGA